UCUAUGAUAAGUGUCUUAAAAUUAUAUCUACAUUCUAGAUUUUUAAUAUAUUAAUCUUUUUUUCUUUACUGUUUGCAGAUGUUAUUGGAUUACUCACAAAGAUUAAGAAACUUGAAUCUAGGAUCAUAAUGAAAAAUACUGCCAAUCCACGCAAAAGGGAUAUUCGAGAGAUUGAACUUCUUAUAUCAAAGGAUGAUACAGUCAGGAUAACUCUAUGGGGACAUUUAGCUCAUUCUCUGAACGAGGAUGUUGUUGGAAAACACACUGUCAUGAUUGUUACAUCAACAAUGGUGGAAGGUUUGCAAGGUACACUAUCUCUAAAGUCAACAAAUGGCACAAGAUUAUAUAUAGACUUAGAUAUACCUGAAACCUGGAAGCUUAUUGACAAGUAUG